rnacentral:lncRNA from 10 species
GACCACAAAGAAAAGAGGAACUAAAGGACAACACAAGAUGCCUCUACAGAGCAAAGAAGCCUGGCAUACUCCUCACCGCAUGACAAAAGUCGUCACUGAUGGGACAAGUCAAUCUCAGGCGUCUCCUCAUAGAAAGCACUAAGAGGCUGAACCAUUUAACAUUCCCACCAGCAACAUACGAGGGUUCCAGUUUCUCCACAUCGUCCUCAAAACCAGUUACUGCCCGUCUUUUGAUUCUGGCCAUCCUAGUAGGUGAGAAGUGGUAUCUUACUGUGGUUUUCAUUUGCAUCUCCCUGAUCACUAAUGAUGUUGAGUAUUAAUGAUGUGUUUAUCUUCUCAGAGUAACUGUCUAUUCCAAGUCCUUUGCCCAUUUUUUAGUUGAGCUUUUUUUUGCUG